GCUGUUAUAGUAUAUAUUUAUUACAUUACAUUUUCAUUGUAAAAAUGAACUUAACUUAGUUCUAAUGGUU
rnacentral:tRNA from 1 species